rnacentral:rRNA from 1 species
GACGAACGCUGGCGGCGUGCCUAAUACAUGCAAGUAGAACGCUGAAGGAGGAGCUUGCUUCUCUGGAUGAGUUGCGAACGGGUGAGUAACGCGUAGGUAACCUGCCUGGUAGCGGGGGAUAACUAUUGGAAACGAUAGCUAAUACCGCAUAAUAGCAGUUAUUGCAUGAUAACUGUUUGAAAGGUGCAAUUGCACCACUACCAGAUGGACCUGCGUUGUAUUAGCUAGUUGGUGGGGUAACGGCUCACCAAGGCGACGAUACAUAGCCGACCUGAGAGGGUGAUCGGCCACACUGGGACUGAGACACGGCCCAGACUCCUACGGGAGGCAGCAGUAGGGAAUCUUCGGCAAUGGACGGAAGUCUGACCGAGCAACGCCGCGUGAGUGAAGAAGGUUUUCGGAUCGUAAAGCUCUGUUGUAAGGGAAGAACGAGUGUGAGAGUGGAAAGUUCACACUGUGACGGUAUCUUACCAGAAAGGGACGGCUAACUACGUG